CUUCACAUUCAUGCCAGCAU
rnacentral:misc_RNA from 1 species